GGGCCCGCUCGCAGGUGGUUCUGACCCAGUCGGGGUCAGCGCUGAAGAAGCCCGGAGAGUCCCAUAAACUGCAAUGUGCCACCAGCGGGUUCACUCUGAGCAGCUACUGGAUGGGCUGGAUCAGACAGGAGCCAGGAAAAGGGCUGGAGUGGUUGGCUUACUAUUACGGUGAGUCGAACACCAAGUCCUACGCCUCCUCCGUCCAGGGCCGAUUCACAGCCUCCAAGGACAGCGCCAACUUCUACCUGCAAAUGACCAGCCUGAAAGCGGAGGACACCGCCGUGUAUUACUGUGCCAGAGACACA